UGUGAGUUGAUUUCAUGCUGGUUGGUGGAAAAGUGGUAUUUUUAUGGAUGUAGGUACACUUGGUCACACAGUAUGUAAACAUUUUUACUGAGACAACACUGGACUGUGUGUGUGUGUGUGUGUGUGUGUCUAUUCAGGGUAUCAAUGUGAAGAGGUCUCAGAGAUCCAACGACAAGGUCAGAAACAGACACAAGACCGGGACCAAGCGUGAAGAAGAGUAUAGAUGCUGAGUGUGUGAUAAAAAGCGGGGAGCAUAAGACACCAGUGGACAUCAUCUUUCCAGACCAGGUUCUUCUGAGAUUGCAGAUACAACAAGGUUCAGAGUAAAGAAAGAUCCACACCCUUCUGACUCCACCUCACAUCCUGACCAUAACAGGCAGCACAGAAGUCCCCU
rnacentral:lncRNA from 1 species